AAGCGAAACCCGCCGGCUAACGGCGGGUCUAUCAGGCGUGGCGGCCUGGUACUGAUGAGCCGGCCAUU
rnacentral:hammerhead_ribozyme from 1 species